UACGUAGGGUGCAAGCGUUGUCCGGAAUUAUUGGGCGUAAAGAGCUCGUAGGCGGUUUUGUUGCGUCGGCUGUGAAAUCCCGAGGCUCAACCUCGGGUCUGCAGUCGAUACGAGCAAACUAGAGUGUUGCAGGGGGAGACUGGAAUUCCUGGUGUAGCGGUGAAAUGCGCAGAUAUCAGGAGGAACACCGGUGGCGAAGGCGGGUCUCUGGGCAACAACUGACGCUGAGGAGCGAAAGCCAGGGGAGCAAACGGG
rnacentral:rRNA from 1 species